rnacentral:rRNA from 1 species
CCUACGGGCGGCAGCAGUGGGGGAUAUUGCACAAUGGGGGAAACCCUGAUGCAGCGACGCCGCGUGUGGGAAGACGGUCCUGUGGAUUGUAAACCACUGUCCCCAGGGAAGAAGAUGACGGUACCUGGGGAGGAAGCUCCGGCCAACUACGUGCCCGCAGGCGCGGUCAUACGUAGGGAGCGAGCGUUGUCCGGAAUUACUGGGUUUAAAGGGAGCGUAGGGGGGACUGCAAGUUGGGUGUCAAAUCUACCGGCUCAACCGGUAGCCGCAGUUAAAACUGCAGUUCUUGAGUGAAGUAGAGGCAUGCGGAAUGCCUGGUGUAGCGGUGAAAUGCGUAGAUAUUAGGAGGAACUCCAGUGGCGAAGGCGGCCUGCUGGGCUUUUACUGACGCUGAGGCUCGAAAGUGUGGGGAGCGAACAGGAUUAGAUACCCUGGUAGUC